CGGCGCCGGUCGGCGGUGCGCGCCGGGCGGGUCAGCGAUCCGCUCCGGUGGCGGCCCGCCGGCCCGCCGGCCCGGCUCCGUCGGUGCUGC
rnacentral:tRNA from 1 species